GAUGAACGCUGGCGGCGUGCCUAAUACAUGCAAGUCGAGCGAACAGACGAGGAGCUUACUCCUCUGACGUUAGCGGCGGACGGGUGAGUAACACGUGGAUAACCUACCUAUAAGACUGGGAUAACUUCGGGAAACCGGAGCUAAUACCGGAUAACAUGUUGAACCGCAUGGUUCAACAGUGAAAGACGGUCUUGCUGUCACUUAUAGAUGGACCCGCGUCGCAUUAGCUAGUUGGUAAGGUAACGGCUUACCAAGGCAACGAUGCGUAGCCGACCUGAGAGGGUGAUCGGCCACACUGGAACUGAGACACGGUCCAGACUCCUACGGGAGGCAGCAGUAGGGAAUCUUCCGCAAUGGGCGAAAGCCUGACGGAGCAACGCCGCGUGAGUGAAGAAGGUCUUCGGAUCGUAAAACUCUGUUAUUAGGGAAGAACAAAUGUGUAAGUAACUAUGCACGUCUUGACGGUACCUAAUCAGAAAGCCACGGCUAACUACGUG
rnacentral:rRNA from 1 species